UUUUUGAUGGACCAUGUUUCUAUUUGUUAUGCACUAAAUUGAAUAUUCAAAUGCGCACUUUUAAAAAAUAUUUGGCACCUAAAGUAUCGCCAAACCAAUUAACUUGGUGCAAUACUGGUGAGCCUAUCUUUUAAGUAAAUAAUUUGUGAUACAAUAAUUAGGUUGGUUGACUCGAAACCAAUCUAGGAAUACAGCUGGGUAAACAAGCAAUUCCUAUAUUUCUUUUCUUUACUAACAAAUAGCUAUGCUUAUAUCAGCCAUUGCCGCUACACUACGACUUCCGACUUCGAUUGACAGGAUAGAAACAUAUUAUCAUCACAUCUAUUUUUGAUUCUUUAAUCUGACGAUUCAGGAUUGAUUUCCACCUAAGCAGUUGAGAGUCCAAGCUAGUCGGCUGGGUCUCCAGGGGAACGAACGGCGAAGCGCAAUAAGCCACGAGAUCUUUGGCAGCAUACACCGUUUGAUCAGAGAGCAAUGGAAAGCUGCAUGUCCCAAAAUGCUCCAAGAGUAAUCUGCCCACGAAAAAGAGCACGAGACUAGCAUGUUGUCAUUGAAACAAUGUGUUAAAAAAUGUAGCGUAUUUGGACACGUAUUUACGAGACAAAAGUUCAGUCACCUAAUAAAACUAUUACGGACAAUUACUAUUAGGGGCAAGGGCGUUGCCUCGGUGCUGGUGAAUGUCAAAGGCGUUGCCUCCAGCUGAUUCCACACACUUUCACCUACACAAGACACUUCAAAGCUUAACAAAACCAAGCGACACACUGUUGCUGACAUAGUGAAUAGCAAUUCGUCGCAGCUGAAAGGGACUACAUGGGGUUAUUUUUAACAUUACUAUAAAGGCAAUAGUUCAAAAGGACAAAGAGGCAAUUAGCUAACAAGAAUAGCAACUUUAAAACUCUUUGUGUUGCUAUGUUUAAAGAGCUUACUCGUAGCAGGUAUAGGAAUGCUUCACCUGUGUGUCACCUAACGGGUAAUUGUCGGCACAUAAGACCCAAUAAUUAAUGACCCUGCAAUGUUACAUGGCAAGAAUGACAAUGCUCUAUUAAUUUUGCUAUGAAUGCCUGUGAUAACUACCUUUCAAUAUCAAUCCCUCCUUUUUAGUUUAUUUUGCUCAGGGGGAGGUUAUCAAGGUGGUCCUCCAAACCUUUAUUCAUCUGCAUAAUAUUCUCUUUUUUAUUUUUUCACUGCCAAUGGCAUACACGUGGCAUUUUUUAACGACUGCUAAUUACUGGCAUUUACUGUUGCUUCCGAGAAAAAUCCAAUAUCGCUUUUGCCAAAAAGAAUUUUUUCUUAUACAGAACAUAAAAUGAAGUAGAUAAAGUAAAGUACCACUUAAACUUUUGGUUUGAGAGCAGAGAUAAUUCAAAAGAAUACACAUGGCAAUUUUGACGGGUAGCUUCCGGUGAUUGAAAUGUCAUUUAUUGCCGGGUUUAUUUAUCAUCCGUCAGCCCAAAAAAGCUUUUGACAGCCUUGAAAACUGCGUAAAACUGACUUUUCUUUAAUAAGGGUACUGAAAACUUUGGUAUACUUCGAACGCAGUUGUGUCGCAUAAUUUUACAGCCGCGUCCUUUUCGAGGGGUUUAUUUGAAUAUUGCUAGCAGUUAUUAGGUUUCUAGGCACCGAAAAAACUAGCAACAAAUGGCAAAUGCGCAGAAAAUGUCAUACAAAAACAAACUUAAAUAACACUAGUCCGUGAUUUACUUAAUUAUUAUUUUUUUGUGCGAAUUGCGAUCUCUAACAGC